AUGGCGAGCGCCGCGCCGCCGCCGCCAGACGCGGAGCCGCCCGAGUGCCCGGUGUGCCUCUCCCCCUUCGACGACUCCUCCGUCGUGCCGCGCGUCCUCCCGUGCGGCCACUCCCUCUGCGGCUCCUGCAUCUCCUCCCUCCCGCCGGCCUCCGCGUCGGCCGCGGCCUCGUCCCUCCGCUGCCCGCUCUGCUCCCAGUGCGUCCCCUUCUCCCGGGCCCUCGGCCCCUCCUCCCUCCCCAAGAACCUCGCCCUCCUCUCACUCCUCCCCUCCCUCCCCAACCCUUCCCCGCCCCGCACCGCCGGCGCCGCCUCCGCGGCUCGACCCCUCCCUCUCCCGCUCCACGCCGCCCACUCGCGCCUCCUCGCCCGCUUCCGACACGCCAUCCUCCCCGAGUCCGCCUCCCCGCUACACUCCUCGCCGCCCGGCCACCCUCCUGCCGGCCUCGCGCUCGGGUCGAUCGCCUGCGACCUGGGAGCCCCCUGGUUCUGCUCGCGGGGUCACCCCGUAAGCCUCCUCCCGAUCGACGCUCCCGCCGGCGGGGCGCCGACGCAGGAGGCCGCGUUCUACCGGCCCAGCCACGCUGCGCGGGUCAUCGCCGCGAUCGACGCGCUGAGCAGCGCCGCCAGGGAGGAGAUGGUCGAUUUGGUGGCCGCCUCCACGCGACUGGCGCGGCGGGUGUGCAGGGUUUACGGCGCCUGGAUGGGCCCCGAUGCGGCAACGCUGUGGCUGGUCUCUGAACGGCACACGCCGGGAGUUCCCCCCUUGCUGAAUGACAGGAGCGACGAGCUGGAAACUGUGGCUCGGGUUGGAGCUCUUGGAAUGGAGGUGUGUGAAGCGCUCAUGGGAUUGCACGGCGAGGGGCUGGUGCUGGGUUGCCUCCGGCUGGACUGCUUCCGCCUUGAUCACUUUGGGCGCUGCCUGCUCGACUUGAAUGAGGUAUUGGCCUUGUGCCGUGGAGUCCGGGCAGGGGUUUGCUUGUCCAUGGACGGUGCUUUGGUUGCUCCCGAGAUGACAGUAAUUCUGAGGGACGCCACAAGGACGAGGAGCCAUGAUUUCAAUGGCUUGAUAGGGCGUAAUUCAGAUGUUUGGUUGCUGGGUUGUAUAUUGGCGGCGCUUGUUACUGGAGAGGAGCGGCUUGCGGCGGGGUGGAAUACUGAUGGAUCAUAUGAUGAUUGGCAGAAGGAAGUGCUUGCGAGGCUUGACGCUGCAUUGGUUGGUACACAGUUAGAACCAUUGGCUGCAACUACAGCGUUAUGCCUGAGCUAUGAACCAGAAUGCCGCCCAGAGAUUGCUGAUGUUUGGAAAUGUAUCAGAGGCUCACAGAUGAAACCUGGUGCUGAUGCUUUGGCUCCUGCUGAUGAUAUUGUAGCUCAGAAAAGUUUUAGGUGUUUGCUCCUCGGGGAGUUGUCCUCAAUGUGCUCCGCCCAAGCUGUUGAGUCAGAUGAAAUAGUGCAGCCCUCUCAAGAUUCUGAUGACAAAAAUUCAACUCCAGAUGAUGAAAGCAAUUGUGGUUGCUCAAACGAUGAGUCUGUUUGCACAGCAGGAACAGAUGAGCCACAGCGUAAUGGAGUGUUUAAAUCUUCAACUCUGCUUGCUCACCGUGACUGCGUCACAGGAUUAGCCAUUGGAGGGGGAUUUUUGUUUAGUUCUUCCUACGACAAAACAAUCAAUGUAUGGUCACUGCAGGACUUCUCUCAUGUGCAGACUUUAAAGGGUCAUGAGCACAAAAUCACAGCAAUUGUUGUUGUUGACAAUGAUAACCAGUCUCUUUGUAUAAGUGGAGACAGUGGCAGUGGAAUUUUUGUCUGGCGUGUUGGUACCUCUCUCAAGCAAGAACCAUUAAAUAAAUGGUAUGAAACUAAUGAUUGGAUCUACCGGGGUGUCCACUGCUUGGCUGUGUCUGGAACUGGUUAUCUUUAUACUGGCAGUAGAGACAAAUCUAUUAAAGCUUGGUCUCUGGAGGAUUAUUCACUUGGAUGCACUAUGACAGGCCACAAGUCAACCGUGUCUUGCCUUGCAGUUGCUAGCGGUAUUCUUUACAGUGGAAGUUGGGAUGGUAGUAUCCGAUCAUGGUGGCUUACUGAUCACAGCCCGUUGUCUGUACUUGAAGAUGAUGCACCGGGAAGCAUAGCCCCUGUGUUGUCAAUUUCAACAGAAGCUAAUUUUGUUGUUUCAUCAUAUGAAAAUGGCUGUUUGAAGAUUUGGAAGGAUGAUGUCCUCGUUAAGUCAGAGAAACUUCAAAAUGCUUCUAUUUACGCUGUUAAAUUGAACGGUAAAUGGCUAUAUACCGGUGGAUUGAAUAAAGCCAUAAAUAUUCAGGAGUUAUUAGAAGACGAGUCAGAAUUGGAAAUCAGAGAUGUCGCUUCCAUCUCUUGUGAUUCAAUUGUAACUUCAAUAUUGUACUGGAAUGAAAAGCUGAUAGUAGGACUCUCUAACAGGGAAAUUAAGUUGGUCUCGUUGGUUAAAUUUAUGGUCAAAGUUGGACCUCGGGAAGCGCGGGCGCACUAUAUUUUGGAAUGGAGGGAGUAUAAUUUUUUGAGUCCUUUAUGUGAUUGUGCAAUUUCUUGGAAGAAGUUUCAGUUUUGCAUCUUGAUUCUUGUGUUUACGACAAGGGUUCUUAGACCAAAUCAGGAGUCGCUUACCAUUUGUUACUCCAUGGCCCUAUAUAUAUUGUGA
rnacentral:rRNA from 1 species